GGAAAUGAAGGUCCUGACUGUAAAGGAUGGCCAUUUUUGUCUGGUUUGACAUGGUUUUGUUUUUUUAUGAAAGUCCAAAAUUAAAAGAAAAGACGGGAUUUUCGGUUACGAGAUCUGUCGACUGGCGAGGAUGAAGUUGUACAUACAGAAGACGUCGGUUGACAUUCAGAGAUGAGGUCUAUGGAAGUAUAUAACCAAGAGCUCUCUUGAAAGACAAUUAUAAAGGUGUGUGAUGGCCACGCCGUAAACAAGACGUCACGGAGGACGACAACAGGAACAAUAAACAGGUGCACAAAGUUUCAUAUUAUCAACAACAAUAAUAAUAAUAAUUAUAAGUUAGAGAAUAACUUUAGUUGAAUGACUUACUCUAACUGCA